GGUGAAGGGGCUAGACAGCUCUCUGGAGUCUCUUUUGUGAAGGAUAAGCUCUCUGGAAGUGUUUACAUAUGAUCCUGCCAUCAAGAGGAAUAUGGACUCAGAAUCAUCUUAUAUCCACAACCAGCCUCUUCUGAGGGUAACAUCCCACUUGGUUCCUAUCAUCAUAUGUUUGCACCCAUUGUUGCUGUCCUAGGUGUCCAAGGUUGCACCAUAUCCACUAUCUGAACCUGCUUUGGACCUGGUGGCUCACUUCAGUCAUUUCCAAGGCUCUCUUAAAUGCUAUAGAAACAUUUCAGAUGUUCCCCUUCAUCACAAUGUGUGAUGGUGCCUGUGUGUCCACCACCAAGCAUAUCUCUUCGCAUUUGCAAUUUUGUGAGAUUUUUCUAAUUCUAAAUAAUCAUUCAAUUAUAGAUCCAGCUUUGCAUUUAUGAUUUUGUGUCCUUUUUUCCUUAAACAAUCACCUCCCCAAUUACAUAUGCUUCAAGCCCUUGAAACCUAA
rnacentral:lncRNA from 10 species